CAGCCGCCGCGGGAAUACGGAGGAUCCGAGCGUUAUCCGGAAUUAUUGGGUUUAAAGGGUGCGUAGGCGGAUAGAUAAGUCAGUGGUGAAAGACGGUGGCUCAACCAUCGCAGUGCCGUUGAUACUGUUUAUCUUGAAUAUGGAUAAGGUAGGCGGAAUGUGGCAAGUAGCGGUGAAAUGCAUAGAUAUGCCACAGAACACCGAUUGCGAAGGCAGCUUACCAAGGCAAAAUUGACGCUGAGGCACGAAAGCGUGGGGAUCGAACAGGAUUAGAUACCCCAGUAGUCCCUGUCUCUUAUAA
rnacentral:rRNA from 1 species